GACGAACGCUGGCGGCGUGCUUAACACAUGCAAGUCGAACGGAAAGGCCCUGCUUUUGUGGGGUGCUCGAGUGGCGAACGGGUGAGUAACACGUGAGUAACCUGCCCUUGACUUUGGGAUAACUUCAGGAAACUGGGGCUAAUACCGGAUAGGAGCUCCUGCUGCAUGGUGGGGGUUGGAAAGUUUCGGCGGUUGGGGAUGGACUCGCGGCUUAUCAGCUUGUUGGUGGGGUAGUGGCUUACCAAGGCUUUGACGGGUAGCCGGCCUGAGAGGGUGACCGGCCACAUUGGAACGGAGAUACGGCCCAGACUCCUACGGGAGGCAGCAGUGGAGAAUAGUGCACAAUGGGAGGAAGCCUGAUGCAGCAACGCCGCGUGCGGGAUGACGGCCUGCGGGUUGUAAACCGCUUUCGCCUGAGACGAAGCGUGAGUGACGGUAAUGGGUAAAGAAGCACCGGCUAACUACGUG
rnacentral:rRNA from 1 species